UGGGGAAUAUUGCACAAUGGGCGCAAGCCUGAUGCAGCCAUGCCGCGUGUGUGAAGAAGGCCUUCGGGUUGUAAAGCACUUUCAGCGGGGAGGAAGGCGAUAAGGUUAAUAACCUUGUCGAUUGACGUUACCCGCAGAAGAAGCACCGGCUAACUCCGUGCCAGCAGCCGCGGUAAUACGGAGGGUGCAAGCGUUAAUCGGAAUUACUGGGCGUAAAGCGCACGCAGGCGGUCUGUCAAGUCGGAUGUGAAAUCCCCGGGCUUAACCUGGGAACUGCAUUCGAAACUGGCAGGCUAGAGUCUUGUAGAGGGGGGUAGAAUUCCAGGUGUAGCGGUGAAAUGCGUAGAGAUCUGGAGGAAUACCGGGGGCGAAGGCGGCCCCCUGGACAAAGACUGACGCUCAGGUGCGAAAGCGUGGGGAGCAAACAGG
rnacentral:rRNA from 1 species